rnacentral:rRNA from 1 species
UACAGAGGUUUCAAGCGUUGUUCGGAAUUACUGGGCGUAAAGGGUGCGCAGGCCGCGCGGGCAGUCAAAUGUGUAAUUCAGGGGCUCAACCCCUGCACUGCGCUUGAUACUUCCGCGCUCGAGCUUUGGAGAGGAGUCUGGAAUUCUCGGUGUAGCAGUGAAAUGCGUGGAUAUCGAGAAGAACACUUAGGGCGUAGGCAAGACUCUGGACAAAUGCUGACGCUCAUGCACGAAGGCUAGGGUAGCGAACGGG